AGCAGCAUGGCGCAGUCUGGAAGCGCGCGGGGCCCAUAUUUCUCAUGAUACCCCGAGGUCACUCGAUCGAAACGAGUUGCUGCUA